GAUGAACGCUGGCGGCGUGCCUAAUACAUGCAAGUCGAGCGAAGCGGGGACGGGUGAGUAACACGUGGAUAACCUCCUAUAAGACUGGGAUAACUUCGGGAAACCGGAGCUAAACCGGAUACAUAUCGAUGGAUCUUCGCUGCAUGAGCUAGUUGGUAAGGUAACGGCUUACCAAGGCAACGAUGCAUAGCCGGCCUGCGCGGGGGAUCGGCCACACUGGAACGGCGACACGGUCCAGACUCCUACGGGAGGCAGCAGUAGGGAAUCUUCCGCAAUGGGCGAAAGCCUGACGGAGCAACGCCGCGUGAGUGAAGAAGGUCUUCGGAUCGUAAAACACUGUUAGUAGGGAAGCGGUACCUAAUCAGAAAGCAACGGCUAACUACGUGCCAGCAGCCGCGGUAAUAC
rnacentral:rRNA from 1 species